rnacentral:sRNA from 1 species
UUCCAUAUAUAUUGAAUAGGUUAGGGUAUACUAAUAGU